AGUCGACGAUGAAUCUUCUAGCUUGCUAGAAGUGGAUUAGUGGCGCACGCGUGAGUAAUGCAUAGGUUAUGUGCCCUUUAGUCUGGGAUAGCCACUGGAAACGGUGAUUAAUACUGGAUACUCCCUACGGGGGAAAGUUUUUCGCUAAAGGAUCAGCCUAUGUCCUAUCAGCUUGUUGGUGAGGUAAUGGCUCACCAAGGCUAUGACGGGUAUCCGGCCUGAGAGGGUGAUCGGACACACUGGAACUGAGACACGGUCCAGACUCCUACGGGAGGCAGCAGUAGGGAAUAUUGCUCAAUGGGGGAAACCCUGAAGCAGCAACGCCGCGUGGAGGAUGAAGGUUUUAGGAUUGUAAACUCCUUUUGUUAGAGAAGAUUAUGACGGUAUCUAACGAAUAAGCACCGGCUAACUCCGUGCCAGCAGCCGCGGUAAUACGGAGGGUGCAAGCGUUACUCGGAAUCACUGGGCGUAAAGAGUGCGUAGGCGGGGUAAUAAGUCAGAUGUGAAAUCCUGUAGCUUAACUACAGAACUGCAUUUGAAACUGUUACUCUGGAGUGUGGGAGAGGUAGGUGGAAUUCUUGGUGUAGGGGUAAAAUCCGUAGAGAUCAAGAGGAAUACUCAUUGCGAAGGCGACCUGCUGGAACAUUACUGACGCUGAUGCACGAAAGCGUGGGGAGCAAACAGGAUUAGAUACCCUGGUAGUCCACGCCCUAAACGAUGGAUGCUAGUUGUUGCCUUGCUUGUCAGGGCAGUAAUGCAGCUAACGCAUUAAGCAUCCCGCCUGGGGAGUACGGUCGCAAGAUUAAAACUCAAAGGAAUAGACGGGGACCCGCACAAGCGGUGGAGCAUGUG
rnacentral:rRNA from 1 species